GCCUACGGGACGCAGCAGUGAGGAAUAUUGGUCAAUGGUCGGGAGACUGAACCAGCCAAGCCGCGUGAGGGAUGAAGGUACAGAGUAUCGUAAACCUCUUUUGUCAGGGAACAAAGGCGGGGACGUGUCCCCGGAUGAGUGUACCUGAAGAAAAAGCAUCGGCUAACUCCGUGCCAGCAGCCGCGGUAAUACGGAGGAUCCAAGCGUUAUCCGGAUUUAUUGGGUUUAAAGGGUGCGUAGGCGGAUUGAUAAGUUAGAGGUGAAAUGUCCGAGCUCAACUCGGGAACUGCCUCUAAUACUUUUGU
rnacentral:rRNA from 1 species